GACGAACCGUGCGAACGUUGUUCGGAAUCACUGGGCUUAAAGGGCGCGUAGGCGGCUCAUCAAGUCCGAGGUGAAAGCCCCCAGCUCAACUGGGGAAGUGCCUUGGAAACUGGUGAGCUCGAGGGAGGUAGGGGUCGAGGGAACUUCUGGUGGAGCGGUGAAAUGCGUUGAUAUCAGAAGGAACGCCGGUGGCGAAAGCGCUCGACUGGAUCUCUUCUGACGCUGAGGCGCGAAAGCUAGGGGAGCAAACGGG
rnacentral:rRNA from 1 species